AACGAACGCUGGCGGCAGGCCUAACACAUGCAAGUCGAGCGAGGUAGCAAUACCUAGCGGCGGACGGGUGAGUAACGCGUGGGAACGUGCCCUUUGCUUCGGAAUAGCCCCGGGAAACUGGGAGUAAUACCGAAUGUGCCCUUCGGGGGAAAGAUUUAUCGGCAAAGGAUCGGCCCGCGUUGGAUUAGGUAGUUGGUGGGGUAAUGGCCUACCAAGCCGACGAUCCAUAGCUGGUUUGAGAGGAUGAUCAGCCACACUGGGACUGAGACACGGCCCAGACUCCUACGGGAGGCAGCAGUGGGGAAUCUUAGACAAUGGGCGCAAGCCUGAUCUAGCCAUGCCGCGUGAUCGAUGAAGGCCUUAGGGUUGUAAAGAUCUUUCAGAUGGGAAGAUAAUGACUGUACCAUCAGAAGAAGCCCCGGCUAACUCCGUG
rnacentral:rRNA from 1 species